CCUACGGGAGGCAGCAGUGGGGAAUAUUGCGCAAUGGGCGAAAGCCUGACGCAGCGACGCCGCGUGAGGGAUGAAGGUCUUCGGAUCGUAAACCUCUGUCAGCAGGGAAGAACGGUCACUGUGCUAAUCAGCCGUGAAUUGACGGUACCUGCAAAGGCAGCACCGGCUAACUCCGAGCCAGCAGCCGCGGUUAUACGGAGGGUGCGAGCGUUAAUCGGAAUUACUGGGCGUAAAGCGCUCGUAGGCGGUAUGUCAAGUCAAGGGUGAAAUCCCCGCGCUCAACGUGGGAACUGCCUUUGAAACGGGCAAACUGGAGUGUGUGAGAGGAUAGUGGAAUUCCAGGUGUAGGAGGGAAAUCCGUAGAUAUCUGGAGGAACAUCAGUGGCGAAGGCGACUAUCUGGCACAUAACUGACGCUGAGGAGCGAAAGCGUGGGUAGCAAACAGGAUUAGAUACCCCAGUAGUC
rnacentral:rRNA from 1 species